rnacentral:rRNA from 1 species
AUAAACGUUAGCGGCGUGCCUGAUGCAUGCAAGUCGAACGGCCUGAUAGUUCGCAAGGAUUGUCAGAUAGUGGCGAACGGCUGAGUAACGCGUAAGUAACCUACCUCCAAGUGGGGAAUAACUUGCCGAAAGGCAAGCUAAUACCGCAUGUGGUGAUAGGCUGAUGGCCUAUCAGUAAAGCCGUAAGGCGCCUGGAGAGGGGCUUGCGUCUGAUUAGCUAGUUGGUUAGGGUAAUAGCCUACCAAGGCGAUGAUCAGUAGCUGGUCGGAGAGGACAACCAGCCAGACGGGGACUGAGAUACGGCUCUGACUCCUACGGGAGGCAGCAGCAAGGAAGUUUGCGCAAUGGGCGAAAGCCUGACGCAGCGACGCCGCGUGGGGGAUGAAGGCCCUCGGGUUGUAAACCCCUUUUCUCGAGGAAGAAUUAUGACGGUACUCGGGGAAUAAGUCUUGGCUAACUACAU